AUAAUGAUACUUCUGCCCAGCCUCAGCCCUUUUUAUAGGAUCACGCAAAGGGAGCAGCUGCAAGAGAACCUUGCGGGAGUGAAAUUCUCAUGA
rnacentral:ncRNA from 1 species